rnacentral:lncRNA from 1 species
GGAUCUACUUACCAACGCAGAAAAUGAUACACACGGAUUCGAUUUAGGCACGCUACAUUCAAAUGACUUGGAAGAGCAGGUUCUCUGAGCCAGGAUACUAAAGUCCCUGUUUAGGAAAGAGCCACGUUGUAUGUUUACCCUACCACAAAGAUACAGUCAUGUGCCUGGGAAAGAUUGAUGCCAGCUCCAGAAAGGCAUCCGAAUGGUCUAAGUAAUGCCAUCCAUCUGUCAGUAAUAGAUUCAGAAAUGGUGCUGGCAGAGGAAACAGCAGCAAUGAUGCUCUGCGAGCCUGACUCAGGGCCAGCAGUGAUGGCAGCCCAAGAAUUCUGGAGGAAAGUGGCUCUGGGAAUUGAACAGUGGCUCAGUGAUGUUGGGGCCACCAAGUCUGCAAUUCUCCCUACCUGUUCUUCAUGGUUGUAAGAUGACUGCUGCAAUUCUCGGCAUCAUGUGCAUGUUAAUGUCAGGAGGAAGAAAGGAAGAGGGAGCACUGGGAUGUUACAUUCAUUUUGUCAGGAAAAGCAAAGCCUUUCCAGACAGCUCCGAAACUUGCUUACCUCUCAUUGGCCAGCACCAUCACUUGACCACUUGUCCACUCCUAGCUGCAAGGAAAGUGGCAAAGUAGAAGGUAUUUGAGAAUGUCUGCUGGGUUAGCCAAAACAAUAGUGACUUCUACACCCAAUUUUCUGGGCACUGCAGAAGUAUCCUUGAGUCCUAUGUGAUCAGAGGGAGAGCAAACCUCAAUAAUGAAACAGAUUCAAUUUCCAUCACCCAGUGAGACACCAUGGGAUUAGAAUAAAUUUUUAAAAAAACAAAUUGAAAAAAAUGCAUUUUUAAAACAACAAAAUCAGAAAGGAUGAAAGGUGAUAUUUCUAGCAUAUCAGUUUGUGGUGGUAAAUUAAUUACCUUAUACAAAGGCCUCAGUGACUUUCUUCUCCUUACCUAACGAAUCAUCUUUAAAAUAAGUAAAAUAAAGAAACAAGAGCAGCAGCAGAUGCUUCCUAAAAAGAAGUUACCAAAUCUGUUCACCACAAACCUGAGAAUUCAACUGUGGACAUUUGGACACCAGCAAUGAACAUGAAACUCAGCUUAUGAGGCAUAUUUGGCUAAAGGUCAAGGUGACUUAAAGUUCAUCAUAGGACAUCUACAAUUUGCAAAGCAGGUGACUGGAUAUGGACUCCUUCCAAGUCUCAUUUAAUUGGAUAAUGCCUACGUUUUAAGUAUCAGAAGUGAGUCUUUCUCUAUUAAAUGAAGUCAGUUCCACUAAAACCUAAAUCUUGUUUGGCAGGCACUCCAUGUUUCUUAAUUUUUAUUCCAUGCUGUAUAUUCUUUUAGACUUGAUUUUCACUUUUUUUUCUUUUUUCCUGUACAUUUAUCUUUGCUGUGAAACAAAGUGCCCUGCUUUGAAGGACAGGUUUGUGGGCUGCUGGUGGUGAGACAACAGCAGUCCUUCCAAGUCUUCCUCCCAUCACUCUGUUAGCUCUCCCUUUGUUUUUAAUUAGCAUUACACCAGUUAAUUCUGUUAUCUCUUAACCCUGGUUCUGCAUCCUCUUCUUCUUUUCUAUUCCUUACUCCGCUCCUGUUUUUUCUUGUUCUGCUUUUCCAAGAAAUGUCUUGUCUCCUCAUCAGUUGACUGUCUUCUCUUUCCAGAGGGACCAUAAAGGUGCCAGCCUAAGGAACACGUAAAACGUGGGAACAGACAAACAAGCUGCUGCCUAUUACAGAGAUAGAUAAUUAACUUUGGACCAUUACAUGCAAUUCAUCAGCUUAUCUUUUUCAAACUUUAUAUAAGAAGUCAUUUCCCAAUGGUAACCACUUGCCAGCUGCAACUUUGACGCAUAUUAUCAGGAUAGGUGAGAUUGAUGGGGGCCCUUUGAACUCUUCCCAGGGAAUUAUCUUUAUAAUGUUACAGUUUUCUCUAUAGCAUGGUCAUAUUGUUAACAUUGGUUAUAAGGUC